CCGGUAAAUCUAUUUUUUUAAAGGAAAAAAAAUUAAAACAUGGCCUAUAUCUGUGUCAUUUGUUAGUUUCCCACAUGAAUUUUAGUAAUGUAGACAAUAGCAACUUACUACAUAUAAUAAACUUUAAAAAAAAACCUCAUGAAUUUAAAAGUAACUCGUGUCAUUGUAGGAAAAUUGGAAUAUACCAAAAGGAAGAAAGGAGAAACAAAUCACACAUAAUCCCCACCAUCCACAGAUAAUCACUGUUAACGUUUUGUUGUUUUUGCUUCCUAUCUUUCUUUAAAAUACAAAUAGCACCACUAUUUUUCUUCACACUUGUAAAGAAGCAGUGAUAAGCAUAAUCUAAAAAUUGCUUCUAUGAUGAACAGAAUUUACUGGUUUAGGUGUGAAACAGAAUAUUCUGAUUAGUCAUAAAUUCUGAUGAAAGUAUACAAUACAUAGAUAAUUUUUUAAAGGAUUUAAACAUUAGAAACUGUUGAAUAAAAUUUAAUGUUGCAGUGCUUUAAAAGGGCAAUUUAGGUUUUAACAAUGACCACAGGACUCCAAAUACAAAAAUUAUCAUUCUAAACAUAGUGAAUUUCCUCUUCAGUGGUAAAUUAUAGUAAAUAGAAGGCUAGCCUAAUUAGCUUUUACCACAUUGUUAUUAAAUCAAUAAGUAAAUUCGUUUACAUGUCCUAAAAAACAUCCAUCUCAACUGAAUAUGAGGAAAAGACAGGAACCCUGAGCAAUAUUGUACCUUUGUCACAAAAUUCUAACCCUACCCCUAAACUGUAUCCCCAAUGCAUUCAUUUCUCUCCAUUCCCACUGUCACCCAGCAUAAUCUACCCUUCUCCUCUUGUUUGGAUUGUGCCAGCAGUCACUUGUGGCUCCCUGCUUCUAGCCUCAGGCUGCUAUAAUCCACUUCCCAUGGGGAAGCCAAGGUGGUAGUUUUCAUGUGCAGUUUGUGUCAUAUCACUCUUUUGUUUCACAUUUUCGAAAGGCACUACCUUGGCCUUCGAGGCUCUACGGAAUGUGGCUGCUGUGUCUCUGCCCUCUCACUAAGCCCACUCCUGUCCACCCUCAGGCCCUGCUGCCUUCCGUUCCUGGAAUAUAUCAGGCUUGAGCCCAUCUCAGGACCCCUGCCUAUCUUUUCCCUCAACUCAAGACCUCCAGAUUUUCCCAUGACAGCCCCUUAUCAUGCAAGUCUCACCUCAGAUGAUAGUUAAGAGAGGUUUUCCCUACCCCCUGCUUCCCCACCACCCAGUCACUCCCUGUCACAGCACUACUCACUCCUGAGAAUCAGCUUAUUGUGUACUUGCCUUCUCUCUGUCUCUCCAGCAAGUAUAUAUACUUCCUAGGAGGUCAGGCCACCAUUUUCUUCCAACUGGUGGUAUUCCCAGAACCUAGAAAAGUUCCCGGUACCUAGCAGAUGCUCGGUACCUACUUGCUAAAGAUGGAAUGAAUCUACUGUGCAAAUAUCCCUGGCGUAAACGGACUCCUCUGAGGGAAAUUCAGUAAGAGAAGCCCUUCAGCAGUUCAUCUCAAAGCCCAAAGGCAUAAAAAGAAAGCAGGCCCAAGUCAAUCUACUCCCACUAUUCCUUACCAGCCAGAGGUAAGGAGACUUAGACUCUUGAGACUCAGCGGUCACACCAUCCCUUCUAGCCCAGACUACAGUGAUGGGCCCCUAAUUGGUCUUCCUGCCUCCUGUCUUCUGGAAUGCCACCAAAUAAAUAUCCUUAAAAGACCAGUUAUGCAAAACGUACUGUCACAAAGCUUUGGCAUUACCACACAAGCUACUUAAAACAAGGAACUUCUAUCUUGACUGCAAGCCCAUCCACAUCUGGCCACAAUCUUUCAUUCCAAAGGCUGCACAAUUCCAGUCUGUCUGCCUAGAGUUAGAAGAUGUAGGAUUGAGUCCCAUUUCCUCUUCUUAUAGGGUGUGUGACAGCUGGGGAAGCCUCUGAGCCGCCAUUUCACUCAGCUCUAAGUAGAGGCAGUGAUGCCAAACUCAGAGAGUUGCUAUGAGGAUUUAAAAGGAUGACAAGUAUGCAAGAUAUUUCAUGGAAGCCUUAUAUGACUCUCAGGUAUUUUAUAACACAGUUGCCCCACUCCACCACGUGCUUUGGUUCACAUUCUCCCCUCCCCUCUGUGUUUGCUAACUGUUCUCCCUUACCUUCAAGAAAGGAACUUAGAUCCUAUCUUAUGGCCUUCACUGACCAUACCUGCACACGAAACCCUUCUCUUCCCUGAAUUCGUCCUUCCCUGAAAUUAUUGUUCUGGAUCCCACACUAGCACUUACCUUAAUCUACUUUGCAAUAGAAAACAUGGGAAGGGGGGGAACACACAUUGGUUGAGUGCCCACCAGCAUCUGGGUACUUUGCAAUGAUUAUCUUACUUAAUUUAAUCUUCUAAACAAGUGUAGGCAGUAUCAACCCCAUUAUAUAAAAAUGGGAAAACUCAGAGCAGGGAAAUAACUUACCAAGGUCAUAAUUGGUUAGUGGCAGAAGCCAAAUUCCAACCCAAAUCUGUCUGGCUCCAUAGCCCAUGCUGUUUUUUCCACCGUGUCACGCUGCCUUCCUAUUUUGAGUAAUGAAAUUGAUUCCAAAGUGA